AAAAAUUUGCUUUAUUUUCCAUGCAGAUGAACAGAGUGGCGCCUACGGCAGUGUAGUGUCAGGCAUGACACAGGUGCCAGGCAUGACACACGUGCCAGGCAUGACACACGUGCCAGGCAUGACACAUGUGCCAGGCAUGACACACGUGCCAGGCAUGACACACGUACCAGGCAUGA